UACGUAGGGUGCAAGCGUUAAUCGGAAUUACUGGGCGUAAAGCGUGCGCAGGCGGUUCGCUAAGACAGAUGUGAAAUCCCCGGGCUUAACCUGGGAACUGCAUUUGUGACUGGCGGGCUAGAGUAUGGCAGAGGGGGGUAGAAUUCCACGUGUAGCAGUGAAAUGCGUAGAGAUGUGGAGGAAUACCGAUGGCGAAGGCAGCCCCCUGGGCCAAUACUGGCGCUCAUGCACGAAAGCGUGGGGAGCAAACAGG
rnacentral:rRNA from 1 species